rnacentral:lncRNA from 1 species
GGGCCGACUUCCCAUGAGAAUUAUUCUGAGGGGUCGAGAUAUGAAUAUCCUAUUGGCCUACCCAUGUCGUGAUCUGGAGGACGAGACGGUGAAGCACAUCUUGAUUUUGUGUUCAAGAGCCAAGUAGGUCUAGAUUUUUGUCGGCCUGUAUCAGCAAUUUGCCCAAGUUGCUGCUCCUAUUUAGACAUUUUUGGAUAACUUAUGGUGAUGUGAUGGAUGAUCGGACCC